UGAGACACGGUCCAGACUCCUAMGGGAGGCAGCAGUGGGGAAUAUUGGACAAUGGGYGAAAGCSUGAUCCAGCCAUGCCGSGKGUGUGAAGAAGGUCUUCGGAUUGUAAAGCACUUUAAGUUGGGAGGAAGGGUUGUAGAUUAAUACUCUGCAAUUUUGACGUUACCRACAGAAUAAGCACCGGSUAACUCUGUGCCAGCAGCCGCGGUAAUACAGAGGGUGCAAGCGUUAAUCGGAAUUACUGGGCGUAAAGCGCGCGUAGGUGGUUUGUUAAGUUGGAUGUGAAAUCCCCGGGCUCAACCUGGGAAYUGCAUUCAAAACUGACUGAYUAGAGUAUGGUAGAGGGUGGUGGAAUUUCCUGUGUAGCGGUGAAAUGCGUAGAUAUAGGAAGGAACRCCAGUGGCGAAGGCGACCACCUGGAYUAAUACUGACASUGAGGUGCGAAAGSGUGGGGAGCAAACAGGAUUAGAUACCSUGGUAGUCCACGCCGUAAAMAAAUGUCAACUAGCCGUUGGAARCCUGAGCUUUUAGUGGCGCCAGCUAACSGCCAUUUWAG
rnacentral:rRNA from 1 species